GUCUCGCUGUUGGAGCAGCUCCUGGUACCGGAUAACGCCGUUAUUCAGCAGGCCACGAAGCGGCUCCGUGAGGCCUUGAAGGAACCGGGGGCUGUGGGGAGCCUGGCCCAGAUCGUCGGUGGGGAACAGAGGCCGCAGCUGCGGCAGCUGGCGGCCAUCUUGUUGCGCCGCCGCCUCUCGGCUUCAAGAUGGCGGCGCCUCGACCCGGAAGUGAAGCUCAGGUGGGCGGGGCUUAAACCGAGCCACGUGAUU